AAAAUCUUUGCCAGGAAAGUGGCUGAUCAUUACAGUGCGAGGACCAAUCAAACUCUUGAAGAGCGCGAAGCAAGUCCUAUCAUCCAUUUAAAGAAACUUAAUAAUUGGAUCAAGAGUGUCUUGAUUCAGCUUUAUACGAAAAGAGGGGAUGCAGUUCUUGAUCUUGCUUGUGGGAAGGGUGGCGAUCUCAUCAAAUGGGAUAAAGCAAAGAUUGGAUAUUACGUUGGUAUUGAUAUCGCCGAUGGUUCAAUAGAAGACUGCCGGACUCGUUACAAUGGUGAGGCAGAUCAUCAUCAGCGGCGCAAAAAGUUCUCAUUUCCUGCCAGACUCCUGUGUGGAGAUUGUUAUGAGGU
rnacentral:misc_RNA from 1 species